GGGGCCGACCUGGCUUCGACGUGGGUGCGGAGUCGGAUCAGGGCAUGCCGAGCGCCAGAUCAGCUCGUUAAUCCAGCUGGAACGAAGUAACUGCGAACGACGAACGUUUCGCCCUCGCCGCCUAAAAACCGGUGAGCCUCGCAACGGCAGGCCGAUGGGCCGGGCCGAAACCCGCAAGGGCAAGGCUGCGAGGUCAUCCACAUCGGCUGGUGGUGCGCCGGGUCACUUGGCGCAUCGCGAGACUCAAGGUGACUGGCCGACCCGAUAGCGUGCUGCUGCGCGAUCGGAGAGGCGAGAGCCAAAUCAGACAGCUACGCAUGUAGAACUGGCCGGCGAUGGCUUGCGGACGGGGGUUCGAUUCCCCCCGGCUCCACCA
rnacentral:tmRNA from 1 species